GUGUCAGCCGCCGCGGUAAUACGAAGGGGGCUAGCGUUGUUCGGAUUUACUGGGCGUAAAGCGCGCGCAGGCGGUCCUUCAAGUCAGGGGUGAAAGCCCAGAGCUCAACUCUGGAACUGCCUUUGAGACUGUAGGACUUGGGUAUGGGAGAGGUGAGUGGAAUUCCGAGUGUAGAGGUGAAAUUCGUAGAUAUUCGGAAGAACACCAGUGGCGAAGGCGGCUCACUGGCCCAUUACCGACGCUCAGGCGCGAUAGCGUGGGGAGCAAACAGGAUUAGAUACCCGUGUAGUCC
rnacentral:rRNA from 1 species